UCUUCUUUAUAGAAUGAUUUGUCCCAUAAGUUUUCUGACCUUGUGUCAGGACCUACGGGCUAAGGGACAAUCUCAAGUAGAGAGUUUCUAUGAGGCGUAGGCCUCCCAAAUGGUAACGGAGGCAUGCAAAGGUUUUCUCGGGUCGGACAGAGAUCGACCCUCGAGUGCAAAGGCAGAAAUAUUUUUUAUAAGAUUUUAAUUCAAAUUAGCGACGAAAACCUAUUGGUAAUCAUCAACGGACAUAAUUCGUAGCUAAUUUGCAAUGAAAAAAA
rnacentral:rRNA from 1 species